rnacentral:rRNA from 1 species
AUUGAACGCUGGCGGCAUGCUUUACACAUGCAAGUCGAACGGUAACAGGCCGCAAGGUGCUGACGUGUGGCGCACAGUUGAGUAAUGCAUCGGAACGUGCCCAGUCGUGGGGGAUAACUACUCGAAAGAGUCGCUAAUACCGCUUACGAUAUCUGGAUGAAAGCGGGGGUCGGUAUGGCCUCGCGCGAUUGGAGCGGCCGAUGUCAGAUUAGGUAGUUGGUGGGGUAAAGGCUCACCAAGCCAACGAUCUGUAGCUGGUCUGAGAGGACGACCAGCCACACUGGGACUGAGACACGGCCCAGACUCCUACGGGAGGCAGCAGUGGGGAAUUUUGGACAAUGGGCGCAAGCCUGAUCCAGCAAUGCCGCGUGCAGGAAGAAGGCCUUCGGGUUGUAAACUGCUUUUGUACGGAACGAAACGGCUCUGGUUAAUACCCGGGGCUAAUGACGGUACCGUAAGAAUAAGCACCGGCUAACUACGUG